rnacentral:rRNA from 1 species
AACGCUAGCUACAGGCUUAACACAUGCAAGUCGAGGGGCAGCAUGAUUGAAGCUUGCUUCAAUUGAUGGCGACCGGCGCACGGGUGAGUAACACGUAUCCAACCUUCCGUACACUCAGGGAUAGCCUUUCGAAAGAAAGAUUAAUACCUGAUGGUAUCUUAAGCACACAUGUAAUUAAGAUUAAAGAUUUAUCGGUGUACGACGGGGAUGCGUUCCAUUAGGUAGUAGGCGGGGUAACGGCCCACCUAGCCUACGAUGGAUAGGGGUUCUGAGAGGAAGGUCCCCCACAUUGGAACUGAGACACGGUCCAAACUCCUACGGGAGGCAGCAGUGAGGAAUAUUGGUCAAUGGACGAGAGUCUGAACCAGCCAAGUAGCGUGAAGGAUGAAGGUCCUACGGAUUGUAAACUUCUUUUAUAAGGGAAUAAAACCUCCCACGUGUGGGAGCUUGUAUGUACCUUAUGAAUAAGCAUCGGCUAACUCCGUGCCAGCAGCCGCGGUAAUACGGAGGAUGCGAGCGUUAUCCGGAUUUAUUGGGUUUAAAGGGAGCGCAGACGGGUCGUUAAGUCAGCUGUGAAAGUUUGGGGCUCAACCUUAAAAUUGCAGUUGAUACUGGCGUCCUUGAGUACGGUUGAGGUGUGCGGAAUUCGUGGUGUAGCGGUGAAAUGCUUAGAUAUCACGAAGAACUCCGAUUG